rnacentral:lncRNA from 1 species
AGAAAAUUACCAUACCAAUUUCUAUAUUGCAUCUUUGAACAUUCAACGUAACGUUUCCUUAUCUAAUACUCGAAAUUUCCUACUAACCUGAACAAACAGAAACGGAUAGAGCCAUGGACCGGCCCUCAACAUCGACCUCAACGGAUAACCUCAAACGGGAGCCCAUGGAAACAGUCAUCAAAGCUCAGACGGAAUAGCUCGCGCCAGAAACUCGAACACGAGCGGACUGAAAAUGAGUCAUGGCUGCUACUGGUUUUUCCAGGUGGUCAUUUGGAAGCUCGUUACUUUUAAAGGCUGGGUUCGACGGGGUGCCGGUUGACGGGCAGUGACGACGAGCAGGAGCUGGUGGUUUGUGGCGUUUGGACGUGGGUCGACGGGCAGUGACGACGAGUAGGUGCUGGACUGGUGCGUGGGAGGCUGCUGGAAGGGUCGUUUGGUGGUGGUUCAGGCGUUGGGGGGGUUGCGACUGGUUUCUGUUUGGUGGUGGUCGUGAGGCUGGUGGGUUGACAGUAGGGUCGAGGGUGGUUGCUGGAGGUGGAAGGGUCUGUUUGGUGGUGGUUUUUGGUGGUGGUGUUUGGUGGUGGUGUUUGGACGUGAGGGAGUAGGGGUCUCACUAGUUCCGAUGGUGAGGAAGACGAUGGCAAAAAGCAGUGGUCGUCGGACGCAGGUGGUCGACGGUCGGGGAGCUGGGGUUCCGACGAGGGGGGGUUGCGGAUGGUAGUUUUGGACAGUAGGGUUUUUGUUAGGUUUUUCUCUUUGUUUUUCAACAGGAGGAAGAAGAUCAAUGAACAAUGCCCGUCCCCUCCUUUCAAAAUCCGUUCAACCCCCUUUCCUUUGCCUUGUCCGUGUAUUUUUGUACCCUUUGCCAAAAAAAUGGACCCCACGUGUGUAGGGGUCCAAGAUUUGUGUCCCCCAUGCGCGGUGGGAUUCCCCGUGUACGGUGUUCCAUCCGUGUCCCCCAUGUGUGGUGGACUCGGAUUAUUAUGGGCUAGGUCCGAAAAUUAGGCCUAAAAAUGGAUAGUUUGAACCUGAAUAUUAUUCUUUUGCCCGGACCCGAGAUUAAGAACACGACGUUGCUCAACUAAUCCUAUGUAAGCAAAAUAACUACCAAAAGACUAAUAUUUGAAACAAAACUAUAUCUUCUUUAAUAUUUUUUCAAAACUAUUUUUGUGAUUUUCGUUUUUUAUAUAAAGAUAAAAUAUGAAGUAAUCCUUUUUUGUAUUUUUCCAAAAUUAAAAUGACUACAAAACAUUAAUAGUACUAUAUUUUUUUGGUAAUUUUUGAAAUUAUAUAAAGUACAAAAUUAAGGUACAGUUUCUUUUGUAUUUUUUCAAGUUUAUGAGAAAUACAUAAACUAAAAUUCAUAUAUAUAUUUUUUUUUAUAAUUUUUCUUUUGCGACGAAAUAAAGUAAAAUAGUUAAAAUAGCUAUAUUAGACCCAAUUUCAAAUAUUCACGCUAAAAAUGUGAAAAUUCUCGGGGAGGGUCAAAAAUCACGCNNNNNNNNNNNNNNNNNNNNNNNNNCGAGGGGCGUAGGGAGUUUUUUCCAAUUAAAGGACAAUCGAAACGAGAUUUGUUUAUUUAUUUCAGAGUCGCCACUUGGGAGAUUUAGGGUGUCCCAAGUCACCAAUUUUAAUCCCGAUUCGAGGAAAAGAAUGACUCCAUAUUACAGUCUGCGCACCAGAAAUCCGGAUAAGGAAUUCUGUUAACCCGGGAGAAGGUGUUAGGCAUUCCCGAGUUCCGUGGUUCUAGCACUGUCGCUCAACUAUCAUAUUCGGCUUAUUUAUCUGAUUUUAAUACAAUUGUGAACUGAUGUGCCAAUUUUAUCUUUUUUAUCACUUUAUUAUUAUUAUUUUUAAAAGAAUGUGAACAUCGCUUAAAACACGUCUUUGGACCGCGUCACAUGAAAUGCACCCAUAAUCCAGAACGCAUUUUAUUUGAUGUUUUGGAAUUUGGAUUUGGGUUGCAUGAAAUGCACACCCAAGCUUAAGAAAGUAAAUUAUUAAACGCGCGCCUAAAGAGACUAUCGCGUUAUUAUUCUGGGAAGACCGCGAAUUUUGCUAAAUGGCCCGUCCUGGAAACUAAGUACCUUAAUAUAUACAUUUAACGAGGGCCCCGCAGCUUGUGGAUUUUUGUUUGUCGAGGCUCGUCUCAUCUUUAUUUUAAAAAGGAGAUUUGCAAUGUCAUGGAAAUGCAUAUCAAACCACGUCACAAUUAAUGUACCCGUGAUUAAAGAUACAUUUCGACUCCGUUGAGAUUUGGAUUUGGGUCACAUAAAUGUGCACCCGAGUUAAGGAGAAUAAAUUAUUAAAGGCGCGCCUAAAGCGACUAGCGUAUUAUUAUUUUUGGGUGAGGCCGUGGAAUUUCGCUAAGCGGCCCGUCCCGGAAUCUAAGUAUUUAAUACAUAUAUUUUUUGUGAGGGCUCCGCAAUCUGUACAUUUUUAUUUGGCGAAACUCGUCUCAUUUUUUUUUAUUUUAAAAGGAUGCCAUUUUUAUGCCUUUAACAAUACUAAACCUUACAGCCUCUUUACAACUAAAAUCUCAUAACUUGUUAGAAAUUUAAUAAAAGGAGUUUAGCGAGUGAGUGUUUCGGGAGUAGCAACAACAUGUACUAAUACUAAUUUUGUCUAAAUGCACUAAGUAAAGGAAGGGACGAACCAAUUAACGUCAAACUGUGUCAUAGAACACGUAACAUAACUUAAUCAAAUGACAUUAAAUAAACAAGAAUAACAUAACAUAAAAAAUGAACCAAAAUGCAUACAGUGAAACAUAGGCAGAAAAUUACCAUACCAAUUUCUAUAUUGCAUCUUUGAACAUUCAACGUAACGUUUCCUUAUCUAAUACUCGAAAUUUCCUACUAACCUGAACAAACAGAAACGGAUAGAGCCACGGACCGGCCCUCAACAUCGACCUCAACAGGUAACCUCAAACGGGAGCCCAUGGAAACAGUCAUCAAAGCUCAGACGGAAUAGCUUGCGCCAGAAACUCGAACACGAGCGGACUGAAAAUGAGUCAUGGCUGCUACUGGUUUUUCCAGGUGGUCAUUUGGAAGCUCGUUACUUUUAAAGGCUGGGUUCGAUGGGGUGCCGGUUGAUGGGCAGUGACGACGAGCAGGAGCUGGUGGUUUGUGGCGUUUGGACGUGGGGUCGACGGGCAGUGACGACGAGCAGGUGCCGGACUGGUGCGUGGGAGGCUGCUGGAAGGGUCGUUUGGUGGUGGUUCAGGCGUUGGGGGGGGUUGCGACUGGUUUCUGUUUGGUGGUGGUCGUGAGGCUGGUGGGUUGACAGUAGGGUCGAGGGUGGUUGCUGGAGGUGGAAGGGUCUGUUUGGUGGUGGUUUUUGGUGGUGGUGUUUGGUGGUGGUGUUUGGACGUGAGGAAGUAGGGGUCUCGCUGGUUCCGAUGUUGAGGAAGACGAUGGCAAAAAGCAGUGGUCGUCGGACGCAGGUGGUCGACGGUCGGGGAGCUGGGGUUCCGACGAGGGGGGGGGUUGCGUAUGGUAGUUUUGGAUAGUAGGGUUUUUGAUAGGUUUUUCUCUUUGUUUUUCAACAGGAG